CUGAAUUCUAGAAAAUUGAUGUUGGUGAUUGGAGCCCCUAGGAGGACAGGGGUGACCUGGAGGCAGAGAAGGCAGGCCUGGGAAUGCCACAAAGAGCUUGUCCAUUGGAUCUGGGUUUGAAGGGGUGACUGGGGGUUAACUAUAGAGCAGAAUAAGGUGACGGCCUUGCAAGUGUGAAAAAAUGGCAAGCGUAGGAUCAUGGCAGCAGGAUACUUGGAGGCAGAAGAAUCAUGGACCACUGGAAUACUGGGGGCAUGAGCUGUGACGUGGCAGGAGAUAAAGCUCAACUAGACUAAGUCUCUUUCUUCAGCCAGUAGCAUAUCAAAAAGCAAACUCAGGAAAAGGAGUUACUGACAAGGGCCAGAUAAAGCAAACCAGGCACUAGCUUGGGGUGAAAAAGAUUCAGUAAUCAAGUUUGGGAAGAUUCUACAUACCACGGAGCAACUAAGUCCAUGCACUGCAACUACUGAAGCCUGUACGCCCUAGAGCCCAUUUUCCACUGAAG
ensembl:lncRNA